rnacentral:rRNA from 1 species
GACGAACGCUGGCGGCAUGCCUAAUACAUGCAAGUCGAACGCUGAAGCACUCUGCUUGCAGAGUGCGGAUGAGUAGCGAACGGGUGAGUAACACGUGGGAAAUCUGCCUAUAAGAGGGGGAUAACAUUCGGAAACGGAUGCUAAUACCGCAUAUAUUCUUGGACCGCCUGGUCCUUGAAAGAAAGACGGCUUUGCUGUCGCUUAUAGAUGAUCCCGCGGCGUAUUAGUUAGUUGGUGGGGUAAAGGCCUACCAAGACAAUGAUACGUAGCCGACCUGAGAGGGUGAUCGGCCACACUGGGACUGAGACACGGCCCAGACUCCUACGGGAGGCAGCAGUAGGGAAUCUUCCACAAUGGGCGAAAGCCUGAUGGAGCAAUGCCGCGUGAAUGAAGAAGGUCUUCGGAUCGUAAAGUUCUGUUAUUAGAGAAGAACAAGUCAAGGAGUAACUGUCUUGACUUUGACGGUACCUAACCAGAAAGUCACGGCUAACUACGUG